UUCAGAUUGCAGGCUGCAACUCGCCUGCAUGAAGUCGGAAUUGCUAGUAAUCGUAGGUCAGCAUACUACGGUGAAUACGUUCCCGGGCCUUGUACACACCGCCCGUCAAACCAUGAGAGUUGGCAACACCCGAAGUCGGUAGUCUAACCGCAAGGAGGACGCCGCCGAAGGUGGGGUUGAUGAUUAGGGUUAAGUCGUAACAAGGUAGC
rnacentral:rRNA from 1 species